rnacentral:tRNA from 1 species
AUCAUAGUAUGUUAAAUAAAACAAUAGAUCUGUGGCAUCUAUAAUCGAUAUAGUAUCGCAUGAUU